rfam:Rattus norvegicus chromosome 5, whole genome shotgun sequence.
GGGGAUUUAGCUCAGUGGUAGAGCGCUUGCCUAGCAAGCACAAGGCCCUGGGUUCGUUCCCCAGCUCCG